ACGGAGGGUGCGAGCGUUAAUCGGAAUCACUGGGCGUAAAGCGCACGUAGGCGGUGUCGUAAGUCGGAUGUGAAAGCCUUCGGCUCAACCGGGGAACUGCAUACGAUACUGCGACGCUUGAGUGCCGGAGAGGGUGGCGGAAUUCCAGGUGUAGGAGUGAAAUCCGGAGAUAUCUGGGGGAACACCUGUGGCGAAGGCGGCCCCCCGGGCGGCAACCGACGCUGAGGUGCGAAAGCGGGGGGAUCAAACAG
rnacentral:rRNA from 1 species